rnacentral:rRNA from 1 species
GAUGAACGCUGGCGGCGUGCCUAAUACAUGCAUGUCGAGCGAACUGAUUAGAAGCUUGCUUCUAUGACGUUAGCGGCGGACGGGUGAGUAACACGUGGGCAACCUGCCUGUAAGACUGGGAUAACCUCGGGAAACCGAAGCUAAUACCGGAUAGGAUCUUUUCCUUCAUGGGAGAUGAUUGAAAGAUGGUUUCGGCUAUCACUUACAGAUGGGCCCGCGGUGCAUUAGCUAGUUGGUGAGGUAACGGCUCACCAAGGCAACGAUGCAUAGCCGACCUGAGAGGGUGAUCGGCCACACUGGGACUGAGACACGGCCCAGACUCCUACGGGAGGCAGCAGUAGGGAAUCUUCCGCAAUGGACGAAAGUCUGACGGAGCAACGCCGCGUGAGUGAUGAAGGCUUUCGGGUCGUAAAACUCUGUUGUUAGGGAAGAACAAGUACGAGAGUAACUGCUCGUACCUUGACGGUACCUAACCAGAAAGCCACGGCUAACUACGUGCCAGCCGCCGCGGUAAAAC